AAAGUUUGACAGACAAUCGCUGGCGGCUUCGGCCGCGAGAGGAAAGUCCGGGCUCCGUAGGGCAGGGUGCUGGAUAACGUCCAGUCAGCGCGAGCUGAAGGAUAGUGCCACAGAAACGGACCGCCGAUGGCGCUUAGGCGCACAGGCAAGGGUGGAACCGUGGUGUAAGAGACCACGAGGGACGCUGGUGACUUCGUCCCUGGUAAACCCCACUCGGAGCAAGACCUAAGAGGAACGCACGCCCGCUUUGCGCGGGCACCCCUUGCCCGGGGCGCGUUCGGGUUGGUCGCUGGAGCCGUGCAGUAAUGCACGGCCUAGAUAGAUGAUUGUCGCUUCAAUGGUGGCAGGGCUCACCCCCGUUACGACCACCGGAAGUACAGAACCCGGCUUAUGGCAAACUUUCCAC
rnacentral:RNase_P_RNA from 2 species